GGCGGUGUAGCAUACUUAUAAUGCGCUUCAUUUACAUUGAAGAUGAACUUUUUUUGAAAGCGUUGCCU
rnacentral:tRNA from 1 species